rnacentral:rRNA from 1 species
CAGGUGGUCAGGUAGAGAAUACUCAGGCGCUUGAGAGAACUCGGGUGAAGGAACUAGGCAAAAUAGCACCGUAACUUCGGGAGAAGGUGCGCUUACCGUAAUUGUAAUCCCUUGCGGAUGAAGGUGAAGUAAGUCGAAGAUACCAGCUGGCUGCAACUGUUUAUUAAAAACACAGCACUCUGCAAACACGAAAGUGGACGUAUAGGGUGUGAUGCCUGCCCGGUGCUGGAAGGUUAAUUGAUGGUGUUAUCGAAAGAGAAGCUCCUGAUCGAAGCCCCAGUAAACGGCGGCCGUAACUAUAACGGUCCUAAGGUAGCGAAAUUCCUUGUCGGGUAAGUUCCGACCUGCACGAAUGGCAUAAUGAUGGCCAGGCUGUCUCCACCCGAGACUCAGUGAAAUUGAAAUCGCCGUGAAGAUGCGGUGUACCCGCGGCUAGACGGAAAGACCCCGUGAACCUUUACUAUAGCUUGACACUGAACAUUGAAUUUUGAUGUGUAGGAUAGGUGGGAGGCUUUGAAGCAGGAACGCCAGUUUCUGUGGAGCCAUCCUUGAAAUACCACCCUUUAACGUUUGAUGUUCUAACGAAGGACACGAAACGUGUUCUCGGACAGUGUCUGGUGGGUAGUUUGACUGGGGCGGUCUCCUCCCAAAGCGUAACGGAGGAGCACGAAGGUUUGCUAAUGACGGUCGGACAUCGUCAGGUUAGUGCAAUGGUAGAAGCAAGCUUAACUGCGAGACAGACAAGUCGAGCAGGUGCGAAAGCAGGUCAUAGUGAUCCGGUGGUUCUGAAUGGAAGGGCCAUCGCUCAACGGAUAAAAGGUACUCCGGGGAUAACAGGCUGAUACCGCCCAAGAGUUCAUAUCGACGGCGGUGUUUGGCACCUCGAUGUCGGCUCAUCACAUCCUGGGGCUGAAGUAGGUCCCAAGGGUAUGGCUGUUCGCCAUUUAAAGUGGUACGCGAGCUGGGUUUAGAACGUCGUGAGACAGUUCGGUCCCUAUCUGCCGUGGGCGUUGGAUGAUUGAGAGGGGCUGCUCCUAGUACGAGAGGACCGGAGUGGACGCACCACUGGUGUUUCGGUUGUGUCGCCAGACGCAUUGCCGAGUAGCUAAGUGCGGAAGAGAUAAGUGCUGAAAGCAUCUAAGCACGAAACUUGCCUCGAGAUGAGUCAUCCCCGACUUAAAGUCGGUAAGGGUUGUUGUAGACGACGACGUAGAUAGGCUGGGUGUGUAAGCGUUGCGAGACGUUGAGCUAACCAGUACUAAUUGCCCGAGAGGCUUAACCAUACAACCU